UACGGGGGGAGCAAGCGUUGUUCGGAUUUACUGGGCGUAAAGGGCGCGUAGGCGGUCAGCACAAGUCAGUUGUGAAAUCUCCGGGCUUAACUCGGAAAGGUCAACUGAUACUGUGCGACUAGAGUGCAGAAGGGGCAACUGGAAUUCUCGGUGUAGCGGUGAAAUGCGUAGAUAUCGAGAGGAACACCUAUGGCGAAGGCAGCUCGCUGGGACGUUACUGACGCUGAGACGCGAAAGCGUGGGGAGCGAACAGG
rnacentral:rRNA from 1 species